rnacentral:rRNA from 1 species
UACGUAGGGCGCAAGCGUUGUCCGGAAUUAUUGGGCGUAAAGAGCUCGUAGGCGGUGUGUCGCGUCGGCCGUGAAAACCUGCAGCUUAACUGUGGGCGUGCGGUCGAUACGGGCAUCACUGGAGUUCGGCAGGGGAGACUGGAAUUCCUGGUGUAGCGGUGAAAUGCGCAGAUAUCAGGAGGAACACCGGUGGCGAAGGCGGGUCUCUGGGCCGAUACUGACGCUGAGGAGCGAAAGUGUGGGGAGCGAACAGG